UCAAACUUACCGGAAGUAUGGCCUACACUGUGGAAACUGCAGGUUCCACGUAAGAUUCAGAUUUUUUGUUGGCGUGCACUUCAUGGAAUUAUCCCCCUAAGAUCCAUACUUACUAAUAGACAUGUGGGUACCAAUGGCUCAUGUCCGAUUUGUCACCAGGACGCAGAAGAUGUACGCCAUCUGCUUUUUGACUGUACACAUGCAAAGGAAUUGUGGCUCCGACUGGGUAUACUGGAUAUUGUUGAAGAAGCGAAGUUAAUUGAUCGCUCUGGUUCAAUCAUACUCGAACACCUGAUCCUAGCAGACUCCAGACCGAUCCCUAUAAAGCCUAAUUUGGAUGUAAAACAAGUGAUAGCGGUUGGGGCUUGGUACUUAUGGUGGGUGCGC
rnacentral:rRNA from 1 species